GGAAUUUUAUUAAAGACACGGAGGCUCAUAUUAUGCAAGUUCAAAGCUGUGCCAUCACCUGAGAUGCGAUAUGUUCAAUAGGUCUGAAAUAGAAGUCGCGGAAGGUCGAUUCUCUAGACCAGUCCGCUGUACGCAUGAUGUCCUCCAGUCGACAGCCUGGGGUGGCGGAGGUCGUCAGGGUCAAACAGGGGGUUACCCUGAGGGUCAAACAAUACUUUACUAUCCCCAGUGGGGCUUAACACUUGACCCUUAUUAGUGGCAGCGGAUCCCGAGGGGGUCACACCCGUAGGGGGUAAGUCUCCGCCCGAAUCCCCCUCAUCAUAGGAAUCAUACUCCAUAUCGUCAGACUCAUUCUCCACACUCCGGUCGGUAUCCGACCCAUCAUCCAGGGCUCUAGCCCGUUUCCACAAUCUAGCCUUUUUAGCCCGGCCAGGGGCUCUCUUGCGCAUGGGAGGUGCGCCGUCUGUGACCGCGUCAAGCGAGUCCAUCAUGGCAGGCAUAACCUGCAUCGAGGAGUGGGAGCUGACGUGUUUCGCCUUAGCCCUAGCCUUACGGGCCUCAGGCAUGGCGGGGGCUGGCGGGGGGGUCCCAUCACCCAGGGGGGAGGGAGCCACCAAGGAGGGCAAAAGCAUAUUCUGCAGAGACUGGGAGAAUGAUGUGGACACCGCUCCCAUGGCAGAGGCAAAGGCCCUCUGCAAGGAUGAUGCCAUAGUGGCAUCCAAGAGGGCUUGGAAUUCUUGGGAAGCCACAUUGCCCUCAGGAACAUCGUGAUUAAAAGUGUCAGGGAGGCCCUCAUGCCCCUCAUCCCUGUCUCGCAUAAUGGCAGGGCAAAUACUCACAGAAUGUAGAGAGAAAAGGGGUUGAGUAACCCACAGGAGGGUUAAAAACAAGCGAAAUGUGCUGACAGGUGUGCCCAGGGGACCCAGGAGACUGCAGAGGCGGGCAGCAGGCUGGCCGCGAGCCGCAGGGAGUAUGAGGACCGGCCACGAGUAAGCUCCGCCUCCAAGAUGGCCGCCGCAUGUGGAGGCUGGCGGGUAUCACUCGCGACCAGGACACACUGGGGGGAAGGGGCGCGUGCACCUCACCCACGCGGCACGGAGGUCGCGAGAGCGAGGGACGUGUAGCCGCGCACCCAGAAGGGAAGCCAACCGCCGGGGAAAGUAAGGGAGGGAGACCCCUCCGCCGGGAUACAGAACUGGGGAAGGGAAACCCACUAGGCACACCACAGGGAUAAACAGAACCCAGCAAAUACAGCACAGUAAUAAAAUGUAAAACAGCAAUAAACAGCAACAAUCAGCAAUAAAUGAUGAAACAUGUAGAGAAAAACUGAGAUACUUAGCUGGUCU